UACGGGGGGAGCAAGCGUUGUUCGGAUUUACUGGGCGUAAAGGGCGCGUAGGCGGUUUGUCGCGUCUGCCGUGAAAGUCCGGGGCUCAACUCCGGAUCUGCGGUGGGUACGGGCAGACUAGAGUGAUGUAGGGGAGACUGGAAUUCCUGGUGUAGCGGUGAAAUGCGCAGAUAUCAGGAGGAACACCGAUGGCGAAGGCAGGUCUCUGGGCAUUAACUGACGCUGAGGAGCGAAAGCAUGGGGAGCGAACAGG
rnacentral:rRNA from 1 species